rnacentral:rRNA from 1 species
UACGGGGGGAGCAAGCGUUGUUCGGAUUUACUGGGCGUAAAGGGCGGGUAGGCGGCCACCGCAAGUCAGUUGUGAAAUCUCUGGGCUUAACCCAGAAAGGUCAACUGAUACUGCGGGGCUAGAGUGCAGAAGGGGCAACUGGAAUUCUCGGUGUAGCGGUGAAAUGCGUAGAUAUCGAGAGGAACACCUGCGGCGAAGGCGGGUUGCUGGGCUGACACUGACGCUGAGGCGCGAAAGCGUGGGGAGCAAACAGG